ACCUCAGGAAAGAUGAUGUCUCGGAAGGGAAUUGCGCAGAGGAACUCCUGAAGAAGGCUGCCAAGACAGUUGAAGGAUAUUUCAUAGCUCCACCAGGUAACAUCCCUCUGCCAAAGGUAGAAGAGAGAAAUAGUUUCCUUCACAAGGAAGACUCUUAAUAGAAGAUUCGACUUGAAAUGCCAUCACCAACUGCUUUUAGACACAUUGUGCAUUGUUAUCUAGAUCAAAUUUUUAUAUCGGGUACCUCAUGUAAUGGGGGGGGAGAGAGGAGGGAGGAACAGGAACUGAAAUGAGUGGUGUUGCUUAGCCGAGACAAAAAUACUAAUUACAGAGCUGUAUGGAUUUGGAAAGAGUCUCUAAGUUUAACACAAACAUGAUGUGUGAACAUGUCUAGAACUUCUUUUAAACCCCAUACAAGAAUUCUGAUCACAUUAAAAUUUCGCACAAGUUUACUGGUA